CUCCCUCUAUUCCAAGGGAGCCAACCACCGCGCGGCGGUGGCAGAGGGUGCGAUGGUUAUACCGACAGGCGUAUCCCGGCAGAUUCUCUACACAGAUGUGCACCAGCGGCUGUCCACCGCGUGGAGGCGACAAAUGCGUUCAGAAUCAGUGAUUUUAGGUCGCCGUGAAUUUUUCAUCCAGAAUUAUCCACCGUCAUCAAUCAAAGGGGUUCGAAUGCGAGAGUGCUUUAGCUUUAAAAUAAGCAGAGUCAGGGGGAGUUUUUCCUGCUGGGGCACGCUGGGUUCACGCCGCUGUGCAUUCUUGCUGCUGAGGGCUGGAUGAGCAGGUACAGAUGGUAACUGGGUGCUGCGUCUCUCCCUCUGCCGUCUCCCAGGGGACCACGAGCAGCUGUGAGCGGUCGCUGCCGGAUGCCGUUUGCUCUGAGAGGACUGCAUGUUCGGCACAGGUUUGCUGCAGCCCUAAAAGGUUACUUUUCCCACUGUUUGGAAGACGUUUUAAACAUUUAUACUCUUCAAAUGAUGGGGGAAAAACACACAUGGGGUUUAUUUGUGAAAACGAAUAAAACCUGGAGUGUUGGGUCUUGAAUGGGGGAAGGAAUGCCGGAGCUCCUAACAUUGAAGGUUAGACUGGUUGAGAUGUUGCACAGCUCCUACAGACAGCAAACAGAAUCAGGCAGCACUCAGACGCAGAUGAUGGAUGUGGUGGCUUUGGCUUAAAUGCUGAACCGUCUGCAGAUAAUUGAAGCUGGUGGUAAAUUUAAAAAAAGAGGCUGGGAAAUGUGCAAACAACGGUUUCAGUUUAACAGAUAAGAUGGAGGCUGACAGACACGAUGUUCAGUUAACUGGAUGUUCUUUCGUCUGAGUUUUAAAUGGGUCACGAUCCAUCAUGUGUGUUGAGUUCUGUCAGGAAACGAGAUCCCGGGGGAAAUCCUGAGACGCUUAGCAGCAGCUGCUGCAGGUAAACAUGGAGACAUUGGUUCCUGAAGGAAGGUUCUGCAGACCGACGGACGGAGCUGCUGCUGCUGCUGGAUGAAGUCUGGAAAUGUUAUAGUUCCUCCUAUAGCUGUCUGCAGACAUUCAGGGCCUGAUGUGGUCGGAGGUGGAACAUAUGCUCUAGAACCAGCGGUUCCUUUGGCAGGGUUCUUUGGAAAAAGAAAAUAAGCAGAGUUGGCUGCUGAAGCAGAGCAGCUGGAGGUUUGAUCGCUAUAACAUCAGAUCACCUUCUGCUAAAAGUCGUGUCGCACAGCCGCUACGGACAUUUAGUGCAUAAUGCAUGGAUGAAAAUUGGUGAAUAUAUGUGGAAAAAGUAGGAAAAGUUGUGAUCUUUACGUGAAAUUUGACAUUUAUCACGAAUGAACCACGGUAAAACCACGGAGGAAGUUCGAAUAAACCACUGAAAGACCACGAACAUGAACCGUGCGUGAUUAUUGCUCUGUUUAUGUGCAUAACAUUAGUGAUUCGUGCAUGAAUUACAUAGUUUUAAUGGGAAAUGUGUGCCGUAUGUGCAAAAUAUAAGUUAUACAUCGGUGGAUCAUGUGUGAAAAGUCCAUUAGACAGACGUUGAACAGUCAUGGAAAGACAGAAAUUUGCCUAUGCAUCUCACCAAAAUCACGCGCAAUUGCGUAUGAUUGUCGUAAUAAUUGCGUAUAAACUACAUAAAAUACUCGUAAACUGCGUAAUUGUCAACCGACCCAAAAUUGUGUACAGCUCAAAACUGAUUUCACGCAAAGAACCGUCGGCCGUAAUCCUCGACGGACGUCUGCGCACACCGACGAACGCAAAAAACGCGAAUGAAUGACAUUUAUCACACAUGGAUCACGAAAGGCCGACAUUUCAUUCGUGGGAAAUGCACAAAAUGUGCAUAGCGGCUGUUUGACUUUAAAGAGCUAGUCAAGGGGAGGAGCCUAAAGCAGGUGACCCCCUCCCCCAUCCAGAGUGUUGCUCUAACAAUUAUCAUAAACAGACAGGAGGGACUUUUGUCCAUCCCCAUUCCUUUCUGAUGCUCCUCUCUUCUGUUUUUCUCAAACAUUACUUCAAAUUUUUUCCUUUUGUUUUUAAUGUUUCAUUUAUUGGGGGGGGGGGUCCUGGGACACUAAAACUCGCCACUGAUCCUCCUUCAAGUCAAACAGCAUUUCAUGAGUCUGCUGGACUCCUGAUGAUAUAUUUGUCCUUUUCUAUUGUUCACUUGGGGAACGUUCACUUUAUACCAGGCAAUAAACGUCUUUUCAUGAGUGUAUUGGAGUGAAAUAAUCCAGUCUAAUGGGAUUUGUCUGAUUGUUUUUAGUGCCUGGAGGAGCUGCAGCCCACACCUCUAUUCUUCCUCAGCUCAUAGAGGUUUAGUCCACACGUGUAAGAAUAUUUACGUGUCUAAAGGUGCUUUUGUCUGGAGAGAAACUGGAUUUGAACUUGUAAACGCGGAUUCCUUAGAAUCAGUGAUCUGGGUUGAACACAAACUGCUGCUUCUUCAGAAUAGUGAAAGGAUCAUUUGAAUCAGUUGGUUUGACUUUAUAAAAUCAAAGUAGCUUUGUUGAAAUGACGAUGAAGAAAAUCAUGAAAUUGGAGAAAAACCCUUUGCGGAAGUUUAGGAGAAGAUAAUUCUACCUCAAACUAUCAGAAAAAUGUUUUAAAAAUAUCAAAUAAAAAAUGCUUCACCUGAAUUCUAUUAACGAAAACAGCCUCCAAAGAAAAGUAGAUUCGCAGUAGAUUUGACAAAUGCAGGCAUGAAUGUAUGCAGAGAUCUCCACAUCAUUUCAUAGACUUUUAUUCAGAAAACACUUGGUGGUGCGCUCAGUCAGUAGAAACACGGGAGAAAAACUCCGCCUGCGAGGUUUUCCCUCAGUCCAACAGUCUGAUGGCCAAACACACAUGACAGAAACAAGAAUCCAACACAGAGAGUGCAAACAGACCCAACCCUUUGUUCUUGUAGGAAGCAAGCGAAGGAAGUAUUUAUUUAGAAACUUUAUUUUUCACUUUACAGUUUCAUCUCCCCAAUGCGAUGCGUUCAAAGGCCCUGAACGAAACGCAGCAUCAACAACAGAGAAGAUGGUCAGCGACUCAAAUUUACAUCCGAGGUUUUCUUUACUGGGUCUUUAGUUCAACUGCUCAUGAUGGUUAGUACAGACUGUGCAGAUUUCUCUUUUAGUGGUAUAGGAAGCAAAUAUCAUUAUUAAAGAAAAAUACAAAGAAA